rnacentral:rRNA from 1 species
AUGAACGCUGGCGGCGUGCCUAAUACAUGCAAGUCGAGCGAACAGAUGAGGAGCUUGCCCCUCUGACGUUAGCGGCGGACGGGUGAGUAACACGUGGAUAACCUACCUAUAAGACUGGGAUAACUACGGGAAACCGGAGCUAAUACCGGAUAAUAUAUUGAACCGCAUGGUUCAAUAGUGAAAGACGGUUUUGCUGUCACUUAUAGAUGGAUCAGCGCCGCAUUAGCUAGUUGGUAAGGUAACGGCUUACCAAGGCAACGAUGCGUAGCCGACCUGAGAGGGUGAUCGGCCACACUGGAACUGAGACACGGUCCAGACUCCUACGGGAGGCAGCAGUAGGGAAUCUUCCGCAAUGGGCGAAAGCCUGACGGAGCAACGCCGCGUGAGUGAUGAAGGUCUUCGGAUCGUAAAACUCUGUUAUUAGGGAAGAACAAAUGUGUAAGUAACUAUGCACGUCUUGACGGUACCUAAUCAGAAAGCCACGGCUAACUACGU